CUACGGGUGGCUGCAGUGGGGAAUAUUGGGCAAUGGGCGCAAGCCUGACCCAGCAACGCCGCGUGAGGGAAGAAGGUUUUCGGAUUGUAAACCUCUGUCCUUGGGGACGAAGAAGUGACGGUACCCAAGGAGGAAGCUCCGGCUAACUACGUGCCAGCAGCCGCGGUAAUACGUAGGGAGCAAGCGUUGUCCGGAAUUACUGGGCGUAAAGGGUGCGUAGGCGGCAUAUUAAGUCAGGUGUGAAAUACUCGGGCUCAACCCGGGGGCUGCAUUUGAAACUGAUAUGCUUGAGUGUGAGAGAGGAAAGUGGAAUUCCUAGUGUAGCGGUGGAAUGCGUAGAUAUUAGGAGGAACACCAGUGGCGAAGGCGACUUUCUGGCUCAUAACUGACGCUGAGGCACGAAAGCGUGGGGAGCAAACAGGAUUAGAUACCCCAGUAGUC
rnacentral:rRNA from 1 species